rnacentral:misc_RNA from 1 species
UGCUUGGACGGCUUUGCGAGUUGCAGAUCGGUGAGCAUGGAUUUCAUCGCGGUGUUCAUCAUGGCGGCGUCCGUUAUGCGGUGUCCAUCAUGAUCCGGAUUUAGGCCGUUCGUCUUUUCCCGAUUCCAGCUCAGGUCACCGGAUUAUAGGUCGGGCCGCGUUUGGCGGCCUGGAGCGCCGCCAGCAAAGCUUUGGAAAAACUUGCCUUUUCGUCCGGGCCGAGAAAGCCGCCGAUUGAAAGCCGCCGUCCUCUGGA